UGGGGAAUUUUGGACAAUGGGGGCAACCCUGAUCCAGCAAUGCCGCGUGUGCGAAGAAGGCCUUCGGGUUGUAAAGCACUUUUGUCCGGAAAGAAAACGUUCGUGCUAAUACCAUGAGCGGAUGACGGUACCGGAAGAAUAAGCACCGGCUAACUACGUGCCAGCAGCCGCGGUAAUACGUAGGGUGCAAGCGUUAAUCGGAAUGACUGGGCGUAAAGCGUGCGCAGGCGGGUUUGCAAGACAGAUGUGAAAUCCCCGGGCUCAACCUGGGAACUGCAUUUGUGACUGCAAGUCUAGAGUAUGGCAGAGGGAGGUGGAAUUCCAUGUGUAGCAGUGAAAUGCGUAGAGAUAUGGAGGAACACCGAUGGCGAAGGCAGCCUCCUGGGCCAAUACUGACGCUCAGGCACGAAAGCGUGGGGAGCAAACAG
rnacentral:rRNA from 1 species